GUGAGGAAUAUUCCGCAAUGGGGGAAACCCUGACGGAGCAAUGCCGCGUGCAGGAUGAAGGCCUUAGGGUUGUAAACUGCUUUUAUUUGAGAAGAAUAUGACGGUAACAAAUGAAUAAGGGUCGGCUAACUACGUGCCAGCAGCCGCGGUCAUACGUAGGACCCAAGCGUUAUCCGGAGUGACUGGGCGUAAAGAGUUGCGUAGGCGGCUCAUUAAGCAUUUAAUGAAAACUAUCGGCUCAACCGAUAGCCUGUUAAGUGAACUGAUGAGCUCGAGAGUAUCAGAGGUUACUGGAAUUUCUAGUGUAGCAGUGAAAUGCGUAGAUAUUAGAAAGAACACCUACGGCGUAGGCAGGUAACUGGGAUAUUUCUGACGCUGAGGCACGAAAGCGUGGGGAGCGAACCGGAUUAGAAACCCUGGUAGUCC
rnacentral:rRNA from 1 species